rnacentral:rRNA from 1 species
AACGAACGCUGGCGGCGUGCCUAACACAUGCAAGUCGAACGAGAAAGGGGCUUCGGCCCCGAGUAAAGUGGCGCACGGGUGAGUAACACGUGGGUAACCUGCCUCUAAGAUUGGGAUAACUCGUCGAAAGAUGAGCUAAUACCGAAUAAGACCACAGUUCCCGCGGGAACAGGGGUCAAAGGUAGCCUCUGCUUGCAAGCUAUCACUUAGAGAUGGGCCUGCGCACCAUUAGCUAGUUGGUAGGGUAACGGCCUACCAAGGCAAAGAUGGUUAGCUGGUCUGAGAGGAUGAUCAGCCACACUGGAACUGAGACACGGUCCAGACUCCUACGGGAGGCAGCAGUGGGGAAUAUUGCGCAAUGGGCGAAAGCUUGACGCAGCAACGCCGCGUGAGUGAUGAAGGCCUUCGGGUCGUAAAGCUCUGUCGGGAGGAACGAAUGCUCCUGAGGUUAACAGCCUCGGGAGGUGACGGUACCUUCAAAGGAAGCACCGGCUAACUCUGUG